CCGGACCUCGUGAUCCGCCCGUCUCGGCCUCCCAGAGUGCUGGGAUUACAGGCGUGAGCCACUGUGCCCGGCCCACAAGUCUUUGUUUUCUCGCCAUACCCACGUGAGUUCUAAACCAAUACAUAUUUGCAGUUGUCUUUUCAGCACAUACACUUGGAUGUUUCAAAGACACUUUCGACUUGGCACAUCUGAAUUCAUCACUUUUUUCCAAAUCUGAUUGUCUCAUACUCCCUUGAUGAAAUGAUGUAAUAAUCCCAAAAUGAAUUAUUCUGAAUUCUACUUUUACUUGCCAUUGAUUACCAAGUGUCAACAUGUCAGAUUUUUUAAUACUCCUUAGUACUAUGGCUGAUGAGGUCCAUCUCUUAAUUUGUUAGAUUUGUCCUUGAGUAGCACUGUCUUUGAUUUUGCCCCUGAAAUUCAUCUUCACACUGUUGACAGAAUAAUCUUUUAAAGUGGUUUGUUUUGUAUGUCUGUGUGCCACUGCUGGACUGAGCUCUUAUAGGAGAUUGUAUCUCUUGUUUUUGUAAUCCUAGCACCUGUUAAAAUAACUAGAAACUUAGAGGUGCAGUCUUGCAGGUUCUCUGACCCUACAGUCACCCUAGACCUGCACUAAUACAGUUUUCAUUAGCCAUUAAAUUUAAAUAAAAUUGGACAUUCUGUUAAUUAGUGAUACUAGCUUUAUUUCAAAUGCUUAUAGCCUCAUGUGACUAUGGACUACUAUAUUGGACAACAUUUUAGAACAUUUUGAUUAUCACAGGAAGUUUCCUUGGACAGAACUGCCCCAGCAGACCUUUGCUGAUGUGGAUGUUUUUCUGUAUUAAAUACAUCCUUUUAACAUUCAGACACCUCCCAAAUGCUAACCUUAAUAGAUGGGCCUUCAGCAUUUAUGUCUCUCUAUCUUGAUCCUGCAACUGAUGACUUGACUAUGUCUGCUCUGCAGAAAGCACCACUACCAGCAUGUGUCCACUCAGGAAAGCUGACACUACAUAUUUCAACAGAGGAGAUGUGAGUACAGAGGCGUUAGAGAAUAACCCGGGGAUCACAACUGUAGGAUGCAGCUACUAGUCCUAAGGAUGCUGACUGCUCUAAUCUCUGCUUCUGGAGGACCAACUUCUUCCAUAAACUUACCCACAUAAUUUACUGUGAUUCGGCUUCUUAGGAAUACCGAUGCAGAAACAGAACUCAAUUCAUCUUACAGGCAACUGUCUCUCAUUAUAGAUUAGUCAAUGAGUGUUUUGUUUAAUAAACAUGUCUAUUAAUUUCAUUAAUCCAAACUAGUUCACCUAAUAGUACUCAAAAUAAUAAAUGGUUAAGCUAGAGGCUUCCAUAACAUGAAAAUUUACUAAUAAUUUUGUUAAAUUUCUCUAUGCUGUCACCAGUGUGUAUAUAUUGGCCAUUCUUUUGAUCACUUUAUUGAUAUUUUUUAAAUGCUUGCAGUUGAAAAAAGGAUAGUUAUACCUAGAUAACUUGAUUGCUGUCUUCUAAAUUCCCAGUAGGUGGUGUCAUAAUACUGUAUUUAGGGAAAUUUUUUAAAAUUUAUUUAAUAAAGUGGAAAAAGAAAGUGCAAA